GACGAACGCUGGCGGCGUGCCUAAUACAUGCAAGUAGAACGCACAGUUUAUACCGUAGCUUGCUACACCAUAGACUGUGAGUUGCGAACGGGUGAGUAACGCGUAGGUAACCUGCCUGGUAGCGGGGGAUAACUAUUGGAAACGAUAGCUAAUACCGCAUAAUAUUGAUUAUUGCAUGAUAAUUGAUUGAAAGAUGCUAUUGCAUCACUACCAGAUGGACCUGCGUUGUAUUAGCUAGUAGGUGAGGUAACGGCUCACCUAGGCGACGAUACAUAGCCGACCUGAGAGGGUGAUCGGCCACACUGGGACUGAGACACGGCCCAGACUCCUACGGGAGGCAGCAGUAGGGAAUCUUCGGCAAUGGACGAAAGUCUGACCGAGCAACGCCGCGUGAGUGAAGAAGGGUUUCGGAUCGUAAAGCUCGGUUGUAAGAGAAGAACGGGUGUGAGAGUGGAAAGUUCACACUGUGACGGUAUCUUACCAGAAAGGGACGGCUAACUACGUG
rnacentral:rRNA from 1 species